GACAUUACCCAUAGAAAAAGCACCGGCUAACUCCGUGCCAGCAGCCGCGGUAAUACGGAGGGUGCAAGCGUUAAUCGGAAUUACUGGGCGUAAAGCGUGCGUAGGCGGCUGUUUAAGUCAGAUGUGAAAGCCCCGGGCUCAACCCGGGAAAGGCAUUUGAUACUGGGCAGCUCGAGUGUAGUAGAGGAGAGGGGAAUUUCCGGUGUAGCGGUGAAAUGCGUAGAGAUCGGAAGGAACACCAGUGGCGAGGGCGCCUCUCUGGACUCAAACUGACGCUGAGGUACGAAAGCGUGGGGAGCAAACACGAUUAG
rnacentral:rRNA from 1 species